rnacentral:rRNA from 1 species
AUGGCGUCUCUCUACCACUCCUCCCUCCCGCUCUCCCCGCCGUCCUCCAGCUGCCAUGGUGUCCUCUCCUUGGCCCCUCGAACCGCGGCGCCCUUCGUCUGCCUCUGCAGAGCGCCACCGCAAGACGACCACGACGCGGAGCUCCUCGGCGCGCUCCAGUCCAACGGCAACGGCAGCCUCCUCAGAGAACAACAUCCCGCGUCAGCCAAAGUUCUAGAGUCGGGCUCUGCGGAAUUGGGUGACGGCAGCGGCGGCGGGAGGAGGAGCUCUCAGGCUCAGCUCCGGGCGCGUGACUGCGCGAGGCGGAUCAUGAGCCUCCCCAUGGAGGAGCGGGUGAAGGUGCUCGACCUCCUGCAGCGCGACGACACGGCGCUCACCAUCUCCGACUACAACGACAUCAUCUCCGCGCUCGCGAGGGGCGGGGACUACGACUCCGCGGUCGCGCUCUUCAGGGCGCUCGAGCCCAACGGCGUCGUUGAGCCGGACGCCCACUCUUUCGCCAUCGCCGUGCAGUGCUUCUGCAGGAAGGGCGCGCCCGACGAGGCAAAGGAGACGCUCGACGAGAUGGUGGCUCGCGGUUACCUCCCCAGUGUGGCCGCCUUCUCCGCCGUCGUGGGCUGCCUCUGCAAACGUGGACGCGUCACCAGGGCCAUGGAUGUGUUCGACACCAUGCGUGCCGUCGGGAGCGAGCCCACCAUCCGCACGUACAACAGCCUCAUCGGCGGGCUCUGCUACGUCGGCCGCCUCGAGGAGGCGCGGGACCUCCUCAACAAGCUCAAGGACUCGCCCAAGCAAACGGCGGACAUCUACACCUUCACCAUUGUGCUGGACGGGUUCUGCAAGGUAGGCAGGACGGAGGACGCCAUGGCCAUCUUCGAAGAUGCCAUCCGGAUGGGCCUCUCGCCCACGAUUUUCACCUACAACGCGCUGCUCAACGGCCACUGCAAGGAGGGGAACCUGCUGAAAGCGUAUGACCUGCUCAUGGAGAUGUGCGACAACGACGACUGCCCGCCGGACAAGAUCAGCUUCAGCAUUGUGCUGCCGGCGUUGCUGCGGGCAGGCGAGAUCACCGCGGCGUGGAAGACGUUCAAACGCAUGGAGCACGCCGGGUUCCAGGCGGACAGCCGCGCGUUGGACACGCUGGCCCGGGGCCUAUGCCGGCAGUGUGCGGCGGACAUAUCGGUCCUGAGGGACGCCAAGGAGGUGUUCGGCAAGGUGGUGGCGGCCGGGCACGAGCCGGUGUCGUACACGUACUGCCUGAUGGCGCAGGCCCUGGCGCGCGGCGGCGAGGUGGACGCGGCCGUGGCCAUACUGGACGACAUGGUGCGCAAGGGGUACGCGCUGCGGAAGCGCGCGUACACGGACGUGGUGCGCGCGCUGUGCGACCGGAGCAGGACGCACGACGCUCUCCGGGUGCUGGCGGCGGUGAUCACCAAGGACUUCGUGCCCGGCCGGAACGCGUUCGACGCGCUGCUCGAAGAGCUCAGCCGGCAGGGGAGGUGGCCCGACGCCAUGGCCGUGUACGCCGCUGCGGUGAAGCGGGGCGUGGUGGUGUCGCUGAAGCGUCACGUCAAGGAGGCGCUGGCACGGGAAUCGCCGGCGCGGUUGGGUGUCCCAUAG